CACUUGAAGGAGAGCGUUGGUGGUUAAAAGCAGAAGAUCCUUUUCAAUGUUUGGCAGCAUGCAUUACCCUUGCUGAGGCCCUUAGAAGUCCAUCUCCCGAGACAAUAAUAUCUCAUAUUCCAGUCCACCAAGAUGGUUCUUGCAAUGGUUUACAGCAUUAUGCUGCCCUUGGUAGGGAUAAGCCAGGGGCAGCUGCUGUUAACUUGGUUGCUGGAGAAAAGCCCGCAGAUGUUUAUUCAGGAAUUGCUACGAGGGAUGUUACUUUCAAAAAGGGAGGAAGAUCAAGAUGGAGAUGAGCGCGAAUGAAGCCUUUGAGAGGUCGAUGAGGACUUUGUCGGAGUGGAUAAGCCAGGAAGUGAAUCGAAAUAUGUAAUGAUCUUAGAUACUUGAUACUUGGUUCAUUCGGAUGAUAAUGUACGAAUAUUUUGGAUAAUAUAUAAUAUUGUUAUUGUUGAUUUUA